rnacentral:lncRNA from 1 species
GCUGGAUAGCCCUAGCUGGACAGAGGAACAGAGAUUUAGCAGGUGAACCUUCAGGCUCCAAAGACUGAGAAUUUGUGACCUGUCAGAUUGGGAGCUGGGACUUCUGUUUGACGUUGCCUACUCAGCUCUGAUGUGCUCUCGAAUAUCUUGCUUGGAGCAAAGGAGCUGUGCUUCAAAGACAGCUUUUGAGGAAAUUCUGGUUCAUCAAAGCCUGGUUUGGUGCUUAGAUGGCUAUUCAAUCCAUGAAGUAUGGGGCAGUCUAUAUCCAUAUUAUCCCAAGGGAAGCCCUUUGAAAUAAUUGUGACCUCUUUGCUCUUGAAGACAAUGAACAAAGAAUACCUUUCAAGAAUGCUGGCUGAUUCUUAGAGCUCUGGCUGUAUGAGAUACCUCCUUCUCUCUCUGAAAACGCAACCUCACGUAGCACAGAGCAAUUAAACUGUUGGGAAAUCUGAGAAACCCUGUGGUCACAGGAGAUGCAAUCCUACAUUGACUGCAGAACUCCCUGCCAGAUGAAAUAAAAAUAGCUAUUAAUUUCA